CAGCAGCCGCGGGAAUACGUAGGUGGCAAGCGUUGUCCGGAAUUAUUGGGCGUGAAGCGCGCGCAGGCGGAUCAGUUAGUCUGUCUUAAAAGUUCGGGGCUUAACCCCGUGAGGGGAUGGAAACUGCUGAUCUAGAGUAUCGGAGAGGAAAGUGGAAUUCCUAGUGUAGCGGUGAAAUGCGUAGAUAUUAGGAAGAACACCAGUGGCGAAGGCGACUUUCUGGACGAAAACUGACGCUGAGGCGCGAAAGCCAGGGGAGCGAACGGGAUUAGAUACCCCGGUAGUCCCUGUCUCUUAUACC
rnacentral:rRNA from 1 species